rnacentral:lncRNA from 1 species
CAGAAAUUAGGAAAUUACAAGAAUAACAUUAAAAAUACCAGCAAAAGCAUAUUCAAGAAUAGGAUAACUGAAGAUGGGAGAAUAGACAGAGUAUGGAACAGGUAACAGCAAAAAAGAACGAACUGGAACUUUAUUGACUUGAAGAACCAAAAUAAAGACCCAAAUGCACAACUGAAGAAUCAUAAGACAUAAGCAGAUAAAACAUCAAGAAAUAUAAUGAUGAAAACCCAAAGGAACAAAACUUAAAUGCAGUAGAGCAAUAAAUCAAAGCUCAAGAGUCUAUGUAAAUAAAUCUUUGAUUUUCU